rnacentral:rRNA from 1 species
UACGUAGGGCGCAAGCGUUGUCCGGAAUUAUUGGGCGUAAAGAGCUCGUAGGCGGCUUGUCACGUCGGGUGUGAAAGCCCGGGGCUUAACCCCGGGUCUGCAUUCGAUACGGGCUAGCUAGAGUGUGGUAGGGGAGAUCGGAAUUCCGUGGUGUAGCGGUGAAAUGCGCAGAUAUCAGGAGGAACACCGGUGGCGAAGGCGGAUCUCUGGGCCAUUACUGACGCUGAGGAGCGAAAGCGUGGGGAGCGAACAGG